rnacentral:rRNA from 1 species
AUGAAGUGGCAUCUUGUAUAUUUCGUCCAAGGCUUCAUGCACUCAUUAUGGUGGCUUCAAAGUCCUGGAAUCAGCACUUGUAACUCCGUUCUUGUUCCCCUUGCGCAUGCCAUCAUCUACAAGCUUGAACUUGCUCCAAGGUUCAUCUUUCUUGUCCAAGCUAGGACCUUCAUUUGUAAGCAAAACAAAUGUAUCCAAUUUAGGCAGCAUCAUAUUCUCAAGAGCAUCAGAAUCGUUACCAAGAAACGAAAGUACCUGAUAAUUCAAUUGGCGUGCGGGAGCUCUAGUAAUUGGUCCAGUAUGUAUGGCAGCAGGGGCUGUGGGUGUAACAAUGGUAUCGAUGUCCUCAUCACAAACCAACAAGAUUCGAUCACACAUAUGCUAGAUACUCGAAACACAAAGAGAUACAUGGUCUGA